CUAGUACUCCCUCUGUCCGAAAAAGCUUGUCCCAAGCUUAUCUUUCAAAUGGAUGUAUCUAGCACUAAUUUGGUGCUAGAUACAUUCAUUUGUGGGACAAGUUUUUUCGGACAGAGGGAGUACAAC
rfam:Triticum aestivum genome assembly, contig: Triticum_aestivum_CS42_TGACv1_scaffold_423774_5BS